rnacentral:rRNA from 1 species
UACGGAGGGGACUAGCGUUGUUCGGAAUUACUGGGCGUAAAGCGCACGUAGGCGGAUUUGUAAGUCAGGGGUGAAAUCCCGAGGCUCAACCUCGGAACUGCCUUUGAUACUGCAAAUCUCGAGUCCGGAAGAGGUGAGUGGAAUUCCUAGUGUAGAGGUGAAAUUCGUAGAUAUUAGGAAGAACACCAGUGGCGAAGGCGGCUCACUGGUCCGGUACUGACGCUGGGGUGCGAAAGCGUGGGGAGCAAACAGG